UACGUAGGGCGCAAGCGUUGUCCGGAAUUAUUGGGCGUAAAGAGCUCGUAGGCGGCUUGUCGCGUCGGAUGUGAAAGCCCGGGGCUUAACCCCGGGUCUGCAUUCGAUACGGGCAGGCUAGAAUGUGGUAGGGGAGAUCGGAAUUCCUGGUGUAGCGGUGAAAUGCGCAGAUAUCAGGAGGAACACCAGUGGCGAAGGCGGCUCACUGGCCCGGUACUGACGCUGAGGCGCGAAAGCGUGGGGAGCAAACAGG
rnacentral:rRNA from 1 species